AAUUUUGGACAAUGGGGGAAACCUUGAUCCAGCCAUCCCGCGUGUUCGAUGAAGGCCUUCGGGUUGUAAAGCACUCUUGUGAGGGAAGAAACGGUUCUGGCUAUUACUGGGAACUGAUGACGGUAUCCGAAGAAUAAUCACCGGCUAACUAAGUGCCGGCAGACGCGGUAAUACGUAGGGUGCAAGCGUUAAUCGGAAUUACUGGGCGUAAAGCGUGCGCAGGCGGUUCGGAAAGAAGGAUGUGAAAUCCCAGGGCUCAACCUUGGAACUGCAUUCUUAACUACCGAACUAGAGUAUGUCAGAGGGGGGUAGAAUUCCGCGUGUAGCAGUGAAAUGCGUAGAUAUGCGGAGGAAUACCGAUGGCGAAGGCAGCCCCCUGGGAUAAUACUGACGCUCAUGCACGAAAGCGUGGGUAGCAAACAGG
rnacentral:rRNA from 1 species